UGCCAGCAGCCGCGGUAAUACGGAGGGUGCGAGCGUUGUCCGGAAUCACUGGGCGUAAAGGGCGCGUAGGCGGCGCUGUAAGUAGGGGGUGAAAUCUCACGGCUCAACCGUGAAACGGCCUCCUAAACUGCAGUGCUCGAGCACGGUAGAGGCAGAUGGAAUUCCCGGUGUAGCGGUGGAAUGCGUAGAUAUCGGGAGGAACACCAGUGGCGAAGGCGCGUCUCUGGGCUGCAACUGACGCUAAGGCGCGAAAGCUGGGGGAGCGAACAGGAUUAGAUA
rnacentral:rRNA from 1 species